GAGGUUAAUAGCAAAUGUUUAUUUUCCUGUAAUAAAGAGCAGGGUGCAACCAUCCCGCUGUUAACGGAGUGACUUCAUAUUAAUCUACAAAUUGUUCUCUUUUGCUUCAAAUGGAAGACAACCUUAUACAAUGCUUUUCUUCAAUUCCUUUCAUCUCAAAGUGCUUUACAAAGUGACACCAGGGGCAGAGGGAAUAUCCCACAAACCAAAACAUCUCCUACAGAAAAAGAUCAUCUCAUUCCCAGUGCUGCAAGGCAGCCACGUCUGUUGUGCAAUGUAGCAGUGAAUGGCACAGGACUGUAGAGAUCAGAAUGACAGGGGGAGCAGAUACAAGGAGAAACUGCCAGGGGUAGGAUUUACCUGAGCUGGAAUCUUUAGCUGGGGAAGGAUACUUCUAGUUUCUCCUCUGGAAAAGCUGAUGUUAAAUCAUCACAGACUCUACCAAGAGAUGCAGGUUUAUCACUAGCUCAAGACCCAGCCAUACCCUUACCCAAAGAUGUAUUUUCCAGGCUUUUACUUCACAUUUAAGACACAUUCCUUUGGUGAAGAGUAGCAGAUAUAACAAACUCAUCUAGCUAGGGUGAGCAGCAUGAGUUGAGACACUCAGCUAUGGCAAGCAAAAGCAGAUCUGAGGUGUUCAGAACUCAAUCUUGGAGGUCAGCCCUUUCUGAGCUGAAGGAGGUGGAUUCAAUGCUCCUAUCUAUUGUCAGGAAUGUGUCCUCCCAGCUCUGGGGAUGUCAAUUCAAAUUUCACAUGGCUAUUAGACCUUCCAUAUAGCCAGUAUAGCUAUAAGGAAAGAAGUCCCCUGAGAAGCAACUCAGCAGCAUACUGUGAGUGUGCUCAGUGACUGCAAAGAUUAUUGUGCUCAUGGGGGUCUCCUACAGGAAGGUUUUCUCAGCUCUGCUGUGAAACUGUCCUUACAUCAAAUUCCAAACCAUGACUUUCACCUUCCCUGUUUAUUCCUUCCUCCUCUGGACAGAAACACAGCAGCUCAGUUUUCUUCCACUGAAGAUAAGAGUUCCUACUGUAGCAUCUCUCAGGAGAAGAUGAAACUUAAUGGAGCUGAGGAUGGUGAUAUGGUUCUGGACACCGACUUGCUAAGAUGACAGUUAUGAUGAUGGCAGAGGGACAGGGUGACAUGCCAGUCAAGAGUGCAGAAAUGCCACGAGAUGAAAACCCCAGGGUUUCAUUGGGUGGUGGCUGAGCAGAUUCCAGAGUCACUGAAAAAAAGGCUAAAUUGGCUAUAAAACACUGUCAUGGCUUUAACACAGCCCAGUACAUAAAAGCCUGGGUCUGAGCUCAAACUAUAGCAGGCCUCUGCAUUCCAACAGCUUUAGUAUUCCCUCCCAGAACAUUCUGAGGCAGACAGGAACCAUAGCCACAUCCCUCAUGUGCACACGAAGAUGUCUCAGAUUUCCUC
rnacentral:lncRNA from 1 species